rnacentral:rRNA from 1 species
GACGAACGCUGGCGGCGUGCUUAACACAUGCAAGUCGAACGGAAAGGCCCUGCGUUUGUGGGGUGCUCGAUUGGCGAACGGGUGAGUAACACGUGAGUAUCCUGCCCUUGACUUUGGGGGAACUUCACGAAACUGGGGCUAAUAUCGGAUAGGAGCUCCUGCAGCAUGGUGGGGGUUGGAAAGUUUCGGCGGUUGGGGAUGGACUCGCGGCUUAUGAGCUUGUUGGUGGGGUAGUGGCUUACCAAGGCUUUGACUGAUAGCCGGCAUGAGAGGGUGACCGGCCACAUGAGGCCUACGGGACGGAGCAGUGUGGAACAGGAGGCAACAGGGGGAAGUCUUGCACAAUGAGCGGAAGCGUGAGGAAGAAGCCCCGGGUGCGGAAUGACGGCUUUUUGGUUGAAAACAGCUUUCGCCUGAGACGAAGCGGGAGUGACGGUAAUGAGUAAAGAAGCACCGGCUAACUACGUG